rnacentral:lncRNA from 1 species
UAAUUCAUCCAUGAUCAAAUAUUCAUCCAUAUUUAAAAGUUCAUCUUCGAUUGAAAUUCCAUUUAAUAAUUUCAUCCAAAAUCCUAAUUCUAUCAAAACUCUAAUUUAGUGUCUUCUUGAGAACCUUGAAUUCAACUGGUGAUCUUUUAUUGAUAAUGGUUUUGGGAGAAGUCGCUGCCUCCACUGCCUUGCACCUUGAAUUGUUGCAUAUGAAGGAAAAUCUGAUCUCAUGGAGGAAUGGAAUCUACAUCUACCUGCUUCAAUUGCAUCGUCAAUCGCUUAACUUCGCAACUUCGCCCUUGAUGCCCUUAGCUUUGUAAUGUGGUUGUGAAUUAAAUUCAGUUGACAUUCUUCGAACAAUUGAGAUGCACUACAUUCCGCCUAUUUCUAGCCAGUUCUUCAACUACAUAGCUAGUGCACAACCUGAUGGAAAAAAAUGACCGCUGAACCCCGUCCGUUCUGCCUAUUAUUUCAUAAUCCAGUGAAGCUGAUGAAGAAGGGAUGUUAGGACUCCGAUCCUGCUGAAAUCCUCCGCCUCAAUCGAGCUGGUCGGCAAUCUUGCCCAUGCCAAGUAGUACCACCUCAAGCUGCUCACCGAGCAAAAGAACACCGGAAGCAGGUCAAGGUUGCAUGACAAUCCACGAGGCUUCCAACCACACACAAGGAAAGAAACAAAACAGCCCAAUCACAGCUCCUCUACCACAACUCGUCGCAGCACGCAUCUACACACUUCGCUAGGUAGCUCAAAUCAAGGGCGACCCCCCAACCAACCACGAAAUCACCCAGGCUCUUGCUUCCUCACAGAGUCACAGAGAUCUAGGAAAAACAGUGUUGGAUUGGGAAGGGAAGAGAGUCGGAACUAGAGCUAACGGUACCACCGCAGCCCAUGUAAGAGCGCCUCACGCCUCACUCCAGUCACACCGCAGCAUGAUCUAGCCACCGCUGCGACACACCUUCGUUGAGAAAAAAUUCCACCCUAGAACCGUAGUGGAUUGUUGCCACUUCCUACGCCUAGACAACUCAAACCGUCGCCACGCUGCAAUCGGCUCUUUGCUUGCACCAAAGCCAAAAGAUAGAGAAGCAUGUCGUUGUGGCUCCAUUCGACACAAUGUCAAUGACAACGACAACACCAAGGGAUUAACAACGCUGAUCUCAACAACAAUAACAAAAUCGUACCGCAGCAACAAAGACGUGGACAGUUAUUGCUCGCUCGGCCGCUUCGAAUUCAAGACUAGUUCUAGGGAAGACAAGAAUCGAAAAUAAAAGAAGAACAAAACAGGAAGUACUGCCCCGUAGCAAGUCAACAGGCAGAAGAAUUCUAGCAGGGAGGCGACUCCGAAGCGCUCAAAACUCAUGCAAAUGAAGGAAACAAAAAACAAAAGAAAAACCCGAGAUCUGCCUAAUGCGAAACUCUUCCACGGCACACACCACCAACUUGCUUCUCGCUCGAGACGAAUCUUCACAUCGGGUCGCCUCCAAUCAGCUCAAUUCUAAAUAGUGGCUGCUCGUGACAGCGUGAAGAGGAGAAAACAAUAAGUAGUGGGCCUCUGUAGCCGCUUCAGGCCACAGAAUCCACAGGAGCAGGAGCAAUGCUCCACCG